UGCACACGCUUGCCAUCCACCUCCAGCACCGGCAUCUGACCCAUGGGCAUGGCUGAGAUGAUGGAAAAGGAAUGAGAACUUGUUGGCUUUCAUGGCACGUGCU